AUUGAACGCUGGCGGCAUGCUUUACACAUGCAAGUCGAACGGUAACAGGCCUUCGGGUGCUGACGAGUGGCGAACGGGUGAGUAAUGCAUCGGAACGUACCCAGAGGUGGGGGAUAACGCAGCGAAAGCUGUGCUAAUACCGCAUGUGAUCUGAGGAUGAAAGCGGGGGACCGAGCAGCAAUGUUUGGCCUCGCGCCUUUGGAGCGGCCGAUGUCGGAUUAGCUAGUUGGUGGGGUAAAGGCCUACCAAGGCGACGAUCCGUAGCUGGUCUGAGAGGACGACCAGCCACACUGGGACUGAGACACGGCCCAGCCUCCUACGGGAGGCAGCAGUGGGGAAUUUUGGACAAAGGGCGCAAGCCUGAUCCAGCAAUGCCGCGUGCGGGAAGAAGGCCUUCGGGUUGUAAACCGCUUUUGGCAGGAACGAAACGGUGUCCGCUAAUACCGGGCGCUAAUGACGGUACCUGCAGAAUAAGCACCGGCUAACUACGUG
rnacentral:rRNA from 1 species